CCAGGAGUGUCAGAGUGGAGUGUGCCCAGGUGUGUCAGAGUGGAGUGUGUCCAGGAGUGUCAGAGUGGAGUGUGUGUCCAGGUGUGUCAGAGUGGAGUGUGUGUCCAGGUGUGUCAGAGUGGAGUGUGUGCCCAGGAGUGUCAGAGUGGAGUGUGCCCAGGUGUGUCAGAGUGGAGUGUGUGCCCAGGUGUGUCAGAGUGGAGUGUGUGUCCAGGUGUGUCAGAGUGGAGUGUGUGCCCAGGUGUGUCAGAGUGGAGUGUGUGUCCAGGUGUGUCAGAGUGGAGUGUGCCCAGGUGUGUGUCAGAGUGGAGUGUCCAGGUGUGUCAGAGUGGAGUGUGUGCCCAGGUGUGUCAGAGUGGAGUGUCCAGGUGUGUCAGAGUGGAGUGUGUGCCCAGGAGUGUCAGAGUGGAGUGUGGCCAGGUGUGUCAGAGUGGAGUGUCCAGGUGUGUCAGAGUGGAGUGUGUGCCCAGGUGUGUCAGAGUGGAGUGUGCCCAGAAGUGUCAGAGUGGAGUGUGCCCAGGAGUGUCAGAGUGGAGUGUGCCCAGGUGUGUCAGAGUGGAGUGUGUGCCCAGGUGUGUCAGAGUG